UACAGAGGGUGCGAGCGUUGUUCGGAAUUACUGGGCGUAAAGCGUACGCAGGCGGCUUUGCAAGACAGGUGUGAAAUCCCCGGGCCUAACCUGGGAACUGCAUUUGUGACUGCAUGGCUAGAGUUUGUCAGAGGGGGGUGGAAUUCCACGUGUAGCAGUGAAAUGCGUAGAUAUGUGGAGGAACACCGAUGGCGAAGGCAGCCCCCUGGGAUGUGACUGACGCUCAUGUACGAAAGCGUGGGGAGCAAACAGG
rnacentral:rRNA from 1 species